GGUUGACCUCGGAUCAGGUAGGGAUACCCGCUGAACUUAAGCAUAUCAAUAAGCGGAGGAAAAGAAACCAACCGGGAUUGCCUCAGUAACGGCGAGUGAAGCGGCAAGAGCUCAAAUUUGAAAUCUGGCCCCUCCGGGGUCCGAGUUGUAAUUUGCAGAGGAUGCUUCGGAUGCGCCCCCCGUCUAAGUGCCCUGGAACGGGCCGUCGGAGAGGGUGAGAAUCCCGUCUGGGACGGGGUGUGCGUGUCCGUGUGAAGCUCCUUCGACGAGUCGAGUUGUUUGGGAAUGCAGCUCUAAAUGGGUGGUAAAUUUCAUCUAAAGCUAAAUACUGGCCGGAGACCGAUAGCGCACAAGUAGAGUGAUCGAAAGAUGAAAAGCACUUUGAAAAGAGAGUUAAACAGCACGUGAAAUUGUUGAAAGGGAAGCGCUUGCGACCAGACUCGCCCCCGGGGUUCAGCCGGCAUUCGUGCCGGUGUACUUCCCUGGGGGCGGGCCAGCGUCGGUUUGGGCGGCCGGUCAAAGGCCCUCGGAAUGUAGCGCCCUUCGGGGCGCCUUAUAGCCGGGGGUGCAAUGCGGCCAGCCUGGACCGAGGAACGCGCUUCGGCACGGACGCUGGCAUAAUGGUCGCAAACGACC
rnacentral:rRNA from 1 species